rfam:Hordeum vulgare subsp. vulgare, WGS project CAJW01000000 data, contig: morex_contig_140490
CUACUACUCCCUCCGUCCGAAAAUACUUGUCGUAGGAAUGGAUGUAUCUAGAUGUAUUUCAAUUCUAGAUACAUCCAUUUAUAUCAUUUUUAUGACAAGUAAUUCCGGACGGAGGGAGUAUUUC